rnacentral:lncRNA from 1 species
AGCCGAGACUGUGCCACUGCACUCCAGUCUGGGCAACAGGAGCGAGACUCUGUCUCAAAAAAAUAAAUUAAUUAAAAUAAAUAAACAAAUAAAUUUUUAAAAAUUAAAAAAAUAAAAGGGAAGGGGGAAAUAUGUCAGAGGCAUUCGAACCUGAGUGACUCCAUCUUGAAUAGGGGCUGGGUAAAAUAAGGUUUACCCCUACUGGGCUGCAUUCCCAGGAGGUUAGGCAUUCUUACUCACAGGAUGAAAUAGGAGGUCAGCACAAGAUACAGGUCACAAAGAUCUUGCUGAUAAAACAGGAUGCGGUAAAGAAGCUGGCCAAAAGCCACCAAAACCAAAAUGGUGAUGAAAAGUUGACCUCUGGCUGUCUCACGGCUCAUUGUAUGCUGAUUAUAAUGCAUUAGCAUGCUAAGAGACACUCCCACCAGCACCAUGAGUUUACAAAUCCCAUGGCAAUAUCAGAAAGUUACUCUAUAUGGUCUAAAAAGGGGAGGGACCCUUAGUUCUGGGACUUGGCUACCCCUUUCCCAGAACACUCAUAAAUAAUCUACCCCACUGAUUAUAUUUAGCAUAUAAUCAAGAAAUAACCAUAGGCUGGGCCUGGUGGCUCAUGCCUGUAAUCCCAG